rnacentral:rRNA from 1 species
AACGCGUAUGCAUCUACCUUUUACAGAGGGAUAGCCCAGAGAAAUUUGGAUUAAUACCUCAUAGUAUAUAAACUCGGCAUUAAGAUUAUAUUAAAGUCACAACGGUAAAAGAUGAGCAUGCGUCCCAUUAGCUAGUUGGUAAGGUAACGGCUUACCAAGGCUACGAUGGGUAGGGGUCCUGAGAGGGAGAUCCCCCACACUGGUACUGAGACACGGACCAGACUCCUACGGGAGGCAGCAGUGAGGAAUAUUGGACAAUGGGCGCAAGCCUGAUCCAGCCAUGCCGCGUGCAGGAUGACGGUCCUAUGGAUUGUAAACUGCUUUUAUACGAGAAGAAACACUCCUUCGUGAAGGAGCUUGACGGUAUCGUAAGAAUAAGGAUCGGCUAACUCCGUGCCAGCAGCCGCGGUAAUACGGAGGAUCCAAGCGUUAUCCGGAAUCAUUGGGUUUAAAGGGGCCGUAGGCGGUUUAAUAAGUCAGUGGUGAAAGCCCAUCGCUCAACGGUGGAACGGCCAUUGAUACUGUUAGACUUGAAUUAUUAGGAAGUAACUAGAAUAUGUAGUGUAGCGGUGAAAUGCUUAGAGAUUACAUGGAAUACCAAUUGCGAAGGCAGGUUACUACUAAUUGAUUGACGCUGAUGGACGAAAGCGUGGGUAGCGAACAGGAUUAGAUACCCUGGUAGUCCACGCCGUAAACGA